GCUAACACUAGCCCUAAACACAAAAAACACUAAUAUAAGANNNNNNNNNNNNNNNNNNNNNNNNNNNNNNNNNNNNNNNNNNNNNNNNNNNNNNNNNNNNNNNNNNNNNNNNNNNUCGUAAGGGAAAGAAUAGAACUAUCUAAGCACAAAACAGCAAGAACUAACCCCUGUACCUUUUGCAUAAUGAACUAACUAGAAAUAAUUUCGCAAAGAGAACUAAAGCCAAGUCCCCCGAAACCAGACGAGCUACCCGAAAACAGCUAGAAGAGCGCACCCGUCUAUGUGGCAAAAUAGUGGGAAGAUUUACGGGUAGAGGUGACAAGCCUACCGAGCCUGGUGAUAGCUGGUUAUCCAAGAUAGAAUCUUAGUUCAACCUUGAGCUUACCUACAGAACUACUUAAUCUCCUUGUAAACUCAAUUGUUAGUCUAAAGAGGGACAGCUCUUUAGACACUAGGAAAAAACCUUAUAUAGAGAGUAAAAGCCACAGCUACCAUAGUUGGCCCAAAAGCAGCCAUCAAUUAAGAAAGCGUUCAAGCUCAACAUCAAUCACUCGAAAAAUUCCAAACAUAUAACUGAACUCCUCACACCACAUUGGAUUAAUCUAUCACUACAUAGAAGCAACAAUGUUAGUAUAAGUAACAUGAAUAUCUUCUCCACUGCAUAAGCCUAAAUCAGACCGAAAACCUCACCGAUACUUAACAGUCCAGUACUAACAAACACAAACAAGCCAAUUCUACUCUCACUGUUAACCCAACACAGGCAUGCCUCAAGGAAGGUUAAAAAAAGUAAAAGGAACUCGGCAAACCUAACCCCCGCCUGUUUACCAAAAACAUCACCUCUAGCAUUACCAGUAUUAGAGGCACUGCCUGCCCAGUGACACACGUUUAACGGCCGCGGUACCCUGACCGUGCAAAGGUAGCAUAAUCACUUGUUCUUUAAAUAGGGACUCGUAUGAAUGGCACCACGAGGGUUUAACUGUCUCUUACUUUCAACCAGUGAAAUUGACCUGUCCGUGAAGAGACGGACAUGAAGCAAUAAGACGAGAAGACCCUGUGGAGCUUCAAUUUAUUAGUACAACUAAAAACCGUACAAACCAACAGGCCCUAAACCCCUACAUCUGUACUAAAAAUUUUGGUUGGGGCGACCUCGGAGCACAACUAAACCUCCGAAUAAUCCACGCUAAGACUAUACAAGUCAAAGCAAUCUGAUACUUACAAUUGACCCAAUAAUUUGAUCAACGGAACAAGUUACCCCAGGGAUAACAGCGCAAUUCUAUUCUAGAGUCCAUAUCAACAAUAGAGUUUACGACCUCGAUGUUGGAUCAGGACAUCCUAAUGGUGCAGCAGCUAUCAAGGGUUCGUUUGUUCAACGAUUAAAAUCCUACGUGAUCUGAGUUCAGACCGGAGCAAUCCAGGUCGGUUUCUAUCUAUUCUACAUUUCUCCCUGUACGAAAGGACAAGAGAAAUAAGGCCCACUUCACAACAGCGCCCUCACUACAUAAAUGAUUUAAUCUUAAUUUAACAAAAUACCACACACCCCACCCAAGAACAGGGUUU
rnacentral:rRNA from 1 species